rnacentral:lncRNA from 1 species
CAUCGGUGCACAGUGGACUGGAGAACACCAGUAGUUACCCGAGCAGGAAUCCUGUGCUGCCUUCCAACGAAAGGAGACGAGCAGCUACUUGCCAUGGUGUUCGAAAGGAAUGCUAUUCUGUGAAGUGGACAUGCGAGAGGUGUCUUGUCGGCCUGUUAAGUCAGACGAUGAGACAUUGACUGGAGCACCACGGUGCAACCUCA